AAAGUCUUUUACAAACGCAAACAGUGAAUGCCUUGGUAUUGAGUACCGAAGAAGGACGCGCAUGGCAGCGAUAUUCGUCGGGUAGGAGCCACGAUCCUGUGAUCCGACGGUGUCCGAAUGGAGAAAUCCGACCAGCUUCAUAGCUGGUUACUCCGUGAUAAAGAUACCUUGCAUAAUGGGUAUGAAGUAGGAAUUUUUAAUUAACCUAAUUGAUCUAAUUAACCUAAAUAAGCGAAGCUUAAGACUUCGUCAAAAGCACUAAAUUAACAAUGUCCCAAGUAAUAUUUUUUUGACAUUUGAAAUUGGGAUUUCGAAAAUUAUUUAGAAAUUAGUAAUUAGAAGUUAGUAAUUCCGCAACUUCCUGCACAUUGUGCAGGGUAUAUAGUCGCGGUAGAGGUAACCACCUGAACUGAAACAUCUAAGUAAGGUGAGGAAAAGAAAUUAACCAAGAUUCCGUCAGUAGCGGAGAGCGAAAGCGGAAGAGCCUAAAUCGCCCCAUAUUCGCAAGAAUAUGUGGGCGAGGUUGCAGGACUCCGAUGUGAGAGUUGCCGAAAGUAGUAGAAUGGCUUGGAAUAGCUAGCCAUAGAGAGUGAAAGCCUCGUAUACAAAACUUUUGGUGACCUCUAGGAGUAUCCUAAGUACCACGGUGUAAAUACUCCGUGGGAAUCUGGGGGAACCAUCCUCCAAGGCUAAAUAUACUCAAUAACCGAUAGUGAACAAGUACCGUGAGGGAAAGGCGAAAAGAAGGGCGGGACGCCCAGUGAAAUAGAACCUGAAACUGUUUGCGGACAAACCGAUAGAGCUUGUGCGUAGCACAAGGCUAAAUUUCUAAUUUCUAAUUUCUAAUUUCUAAUCAAUUUCUAAUUUUCAAAUGUACAAUGUCUAAAUUUUAGUCAUUAAUACAUUAGUUAUUGGAAUUUGUUUAGGUCAAUUAGUAAUUAGUUCAAUUAGGUUAAUUUGUCCUCGUGCUGUGCACGAGUGAUAUCGUGCCUAUUGAAGAAUGAGCCGGCGAGUCUCUGAUAUAUGCUUUGACUAAGUCCGUUACUGGAUGGAGUCAUAGGGAAACCAAGUCUUAAUUGGGCGCUUAAAAGUAUGUAUUGGAGGACCCGAAACCGGGUGAUCUAUCCAUGAGCAGGGUGAGCACCGAUGAAGAUCGGUGGGAAGCCCGAACCGUUGUGAGUUGCAAUUCGCUCGGAUGACUUGUGGAUAGGGGUAAUAUGCCAAACGAACCCGGAGAUAGCUGGUUCUCCCCGAAAGGUCUAUGGGGACCGUCCCACUCUUUUCGGUUGUGGGGUAGAGCACCGAAUGGGCUAUCAACCGUAAGGGAGAUAAUCUAAUCGAACUCCGAAUACACAACCUCAAUAAGAUGGGAGACAGCCGCAUCGGGCUAAGCUGAUGCGACGAAAGGGAAACAACCCAGACUUUCGGCUAAGGUCUCUAAAUUACAGCUAAGUUUGAAAGGAAGUCAUUAUCCCCAAACAGCCAGGAGGUUGGCUUAGAAGCAGCCACCCUUUAAAGAUAGCGUAACAGCUCACUGGUCGAGGGUAGUGGCGCCUAAAAUUUAUCGAGGAUAAGCUGUAUACCGAAGCCAGAGAUCUUGUCCUUUGGACAAGGAAUUUCAAUUGACUGAAUUUCGAAUUUUGAAUGAAUGUCCGAAUGAUUGAAUGCUUGAUGUUUUAAUUUAUUUGCAUUGAUACAUUCGAGAAUUAAAAAAUAAUUUAUUCAAAAUUAAAAAUUAGAAAAUUAUGGAAUUCCUCGCCCAGAGGGCGAGGUGGUAGGGGAGCGUUCCAUUGGCGGUGAAAUUUUGCUGUAAAGCAAGGUGGAGCUUAUGGAAGUGAGAAUGCCGGCAUGAGUAGCGUACUAGCUCCGUGAGAAUCGGAGCCGCCGAAUGUCCAAGGAUUCCGUCGCGAGGUUCGUCCUCGACGGGUUAAUCGGCACCUAAGGGGAGGCCAACUGGCGUACCCGAUGGACGACAGGUUAAAAUUCCUGUAUUUGUUUUAAAUCGACCACUACGUUCAUGCGUAAGCACUGAAUGUAGAGCUGGGGAUUGACCGAGUUGGAUAGCUAGGGCCCUUUUAUGAAGUAGGGUGUAAGCUGUUAAGUAGGAUCAGCUGGAAAAACCGCUGAACUGAUUAAUUGAGCAGUAAUGCAGAGUUGGCAGAAAUGCUGACAAUUCUAAACUAUUCAACUUGCAAGAAAAGAUUCGCAGCGAGAUUUAAGGCAAGCCGUACCGCAAACCGACACAGGUGGACUGGUAGAGAAUACUAAGGCGAGCGAGAGAAAGAGGCUUAAGGAACUCGGCAAACAAGCUGGACGUAACUUUUUGGAGAUGUCCUGCCACGUUCAGUUACAUGAACGUGGUUGCAACAAAUGAUUGCUAACCGACUGUUUAUCAAAAACACAGGUCCGUGCAAAGGUGAAAGCCUAGGUAUACGGGCUGACGCCUGCCCAGUGCCGGUCAGUGAAGAGGAUCCCUUUUCAAGAUUUAUUUUGAUGGGGGUGAAUCCAAGCUCCGGUAAACGGCAGCAGUAACUAUAACUGUUCUACGGUAGCGAAGUUCCUUGUCGGGUAAGUUCCGACCCGCACGAAUGGCGUAACGAGUUAGCAACUGUCUUAAGCCUUUACUCGGCGAAAUUGCGUUGGCUGUGAAGACGCGGCCUACUUCCACCUGGACAAAAAGACCCCGUGGAGCUUUACUGUAGCUUGGCAUUGAUUUAUGCGAGCCAAUUGUUUAGCGUAGGAGGGACCGCUCCCACAUUCUUUGAAUGUGGGGCGGAAAAGUGAAACACCUCCCUUUGGAACGUUUUAAAUCUUACCUAGGUCGCCUGCAUACGGCGAUAGGAAAAGUGUUAGGUAGGCAGUUUUACUGGGGCGGUACCUUGCCAAAGAGUAACGCAAGGACACAAAGGUCGGCUUAGCACGGAUGGACAUCGUGCUUCAAUGUGUAAAGGCAUAAGCCGGCUUGACUGCGACACAGGCGUGUGGAGCAGGAACGAAAGUUGGUCUUAGUGAUCCUCCGAUGCCAUGUGGGUGGCACGGAGCUUAAUGGAUAAAAGCUACCCCGGGGAUAACAGAGUAGUCGCGCCCGAGAGUCCAUAUCGACGGCGCGGAUCGCUACCUCGAUGUCGGCUCAUCGCAUCCUGGGGCUGGAGAAGGUCCCAAGGGUCGGUCUGUUCGCCCGUUAAAGCGGUACGUGAGCUGGGUUCAGAACGUCGUAAGACAGUGAGUAGUCCAAGCUGUCUCUAUCUGUAGACUUCUGAAGUUAAGAGAAUAAUCUUUUUGUCUAAUAUUGAAUACAGAUAUAUAAAUCUGGCUAUUUGCUGGAACAUCCGUUGUAUCCUGUGCUAGUUAUUUUGGUUAAUAAUUAAUAUAAUUUAAGCCAUGACUUUAGUUAGAGAGAUGACGUUAGAAGUAUAUUGUGGUUCAACACCCACGGACAAACUAUUGAGUCAUCCUGAAUGUUUGCAAUUAUAUUUAAAGUUUUUCCUUCCUUAUAUAUUAUUAAUUACUUUAGUAAUUAUAGUAGUUUAUGUUCUUUUAAGGAAAAGAAAAUUAAAACCAAAAAAACUGAAAACGCAACAGGUGCGGACAAUCAGCAGGAAAGGUUUAUUGCUUAUAAGUUUUGUAUUAUUUAUUUUUUAUUAUCGUUGAUAACAAAUUGUAAAUAUCAGACAAGGUGUUUGGAAUGUAUUUUUCCAUGUAAUGGGAAGAUAGGAUUACCACAUCGUGGUGUUCUAUCAUGUACACCGUUUUAUAAGUAAUAAAAAUCCCCAACGACUAUACGCCAGAGUACGUUCAGUUUAGAUGAAUGUACAAGAUAUAGUCUGAUCUCAUAGGCGACUAUGAGGAUUGAAAAUUCGUUCAGUCGUAACAACACGCGUAAUUUCAACUUUUUAAAUUUUGAUAUGCAAUUUUGCAUUUUGAUUUUUAAUAUUUGAUUUUAUAAUGUCGGACUCUAUCCGGUGGAAGCGCAGAGUCUUGAGGAGAGCUGGCCUCAGUACGAGAGGACCAGGCUGGGGGAAUCCCUGGUGUGCCGGUUGUCGCGUCAGCGGCAACGCCGGGUAGCUACAUUCCUAAGGGAUAACCGCUGAAAGCAUCUAAGUGGGAAGCCCACUCCGAGAUUAGGACUCGUUAUUAAGUCCCCGCAAGAACAGCGGGUUGCUCCGGCAGGCGGUGGAAGGGCAGUAAUGCCUUAAGCCUACCUGAUACGGAUAGACUGAAAAAGACUUUUU
rfam:Candidatus Woesebacteria bacterium RIFCSPHIGHO2_01_FTLL_38_26b rifcsphigho2_01_scaffold_107260, whole genome shotgun sequence.